GGCAGGAUGGAGAACAGCCAUCGGGUAGCAGGGGGAAGUGAGAAAAAGUCCAGGCUUUAAAAAACACAAAUUAAUCACAGCGUACUUCUGCCUAAAACUCCAGUGGCUUCCCUCUGCAUUUUGGGAAAAAUCCAAACAUCUUGUCAAAGCCUGCAAGGCCCCUAGAUCUAACCCAGCCCUCAAACUUUGGAAAAGGGGAAACUAUGUACCAGAAUAACAGUUCCAGGGAUGCUAUGAUCACAGUGUUUUUAUUUAAAACACUGUUUUUUGUCUUAAAAUUGUUUAGCAAAUCAUGUGUAAUUUUUUUUUUUAACCACAAAUGUUUUUGCCUUCGGUUUGAAAUCCCAAGUACAAUUUUCCAGAGCUUUUUUCUUAUGUGAACCAAGCCCUGUGAGCCUGCUUUUACAUAACACAGUUGAGAUUUUUGUUUUUUCCAUCAUGACCCAUUUGAAAGUUGCCCUAUUUAAUGCUGUAGGAGCCUAUUUUGGGUUCAUUUAUCUUUUAAAUUGCUAUGAGACCUUAAUGUUACAGCCUUCAGAUGGGGUCUUCUGAGAACUAGGGAGACAGAAGUUAUUUGUUUUAUCCAUUGCUAGCUGUUGAGGCCUCUCUUCAUGCCAGUCACUCAGCCGGGAGCGACACAGACAUAUUCCUUCCCACAAAGAACUUCUGAUCUGAGAGGAGAGACGGCGCAUCCAGCACCAGUGGUAUUGGAAUGAAACCAGCAUAUACAUGUUCAGAGCUUUAUAAUCAUUAACUGUUCUCCACGAUCCUGGGAAAUGUGAACUUGGAUGAAGUCCAAGAAUCUUAGCAACAAGACAGCAGCUCCCAAGCACAAUCCCAGUCCUCUGAUGGAGCCAGAAUCUCCGAGACAAAGCACCAUUUAUCGACAUGAACUGUCUUGCUUGCAGAGCUGAAAUCCCAAGUACCGAGCUAAUGAGAAGACUCAGAGCCAGGGUGUCAUAUGGAGUUAGGAAGACCAACCCAUUAACAGUCUGUUUCUCUGUGCUCAGCCCAGAUUGGAGGAGAUGCAGAACAAACGUAUACGAUGGCUUCUGAAAGGCUCCAACACUUGACACUUGAACACCAAGACAAUCACUCUGUUUAACUGGGAGUGUGGGAAAGGACACAGACCAGAAAAUGUUUUGUGAGUAGAUGGGCAGGGCCCCCUGAGCAGCAGAGGCAGCCAGCUGUAGGCCCAGGAUGCAGGAAUGUUCACAAACUCCUGAGCCUGACGGUCAGGGCUAUCUGCUUGACGAAUCUGAAGGUUAGACCCAACCCCUCUCCUCUCCUAAACCUACCUAUUCCAAAGGCGUCCCCUAGGGCCCAACUACGAGCAUCCAUUUGAGAUGCAGCCUCAGCAUAGCAAUAGGUGUCCCGUGAUUUCAGGAGAAUAAUUUACUUCCCUGAAAACAGGAGGUUACAUUUUCUUGCCCCCUAUCUAGAAUGUCCUUUGAAUGUUAGCAAGACUUAGCAAGUCAAGCAUAGAAGAGGGGUUCAAAUUAUGUUAAUGACAACCAGUGAUCACCAACAUUCACCUUCCUACAGAGCAAUAUGCUAAGCAUUUUGCAUUCAUCAUCUUACUUUAUUCUCACAACUCUAUAAAUUAGCAACAUAACAAAUCCCACUUUACAAAUGGAAAAACGGAGGCCUAGAGAAACUAAGGUUGGCAGUUCUCAAAGUGUUAGUCCUAGGACCAGCAUGGUCAACAUCAGGAAACUUGUUAGAAAUGAAAUUUCUCAGACCCCACCCCAGACACACUGAAUCACAAUCUCUGGGAAUGGGGCGAUCUAGCCUUCAACAAUCCCUGCAGGGAAUUCUGAUGCGCACUCAAGUGUGAGGACUUGUGGACCAGGCAACUGGGCAAAACUACACAGCAAGUAGGAUCUAAACCCUAGCAGUUUGGCUACAGAGCCCUGUUCUUAAACCCUGUGAUACGAAUCUACCUGGACGCUAGAAUUAAGAGCUCCUGUCCUACCUACAAUCACAAACUCCAAAUGCUGAGAAUCAGCAGCCAUUAAUAGAUGCUUGGCCUUUGAAAAUGUCUGUCAGAUUUAUAUGGAAGGAUAGAAGGGAGAAGCAACCUGCCUCUUCUACGUUAAGGCUUUGGCCUCACUGGCGACAUGAGGCACUGUCACAUUUCUCAUGGGAAUGAAGAUUUCCUGCUUGUUACUCACUACUCCCUGCCCCUGCCAGAGGUCACACCCAGAGGCUACACCCAGGCCUUACGGAAGCUUCAUUUCACACCCAAGAAGGAAGGCAGAUCAACUGGAGGGAAUGACGUACAAAGUAGCUGGUUUUCAAAACAAAAAAAUUAAUUUCAAGGGCAGAGGAAAUGGUAGAGGAAGAGAUUUGUUAAAGAAUACAAUAUUACCACUAGAUAAGUGUGCUAUACAUCAUCGUAGGAUGAUUAUAGUUAACAACAACAUAUGGUUUCAAAUAGCUAGAAUGAUAUCAAAUGUUCCCAAUACAGACAAAUUAUAAAUGUUUGAGAUGAUGGAUAUGCUAUUACCCUGAUCUGAUCACUACACAUUAUUUAUAUCAAAACAUUACUAUGUACUCCAUGAAUAUAUACAGUUAUUAUUUGUCAGCUUACAAA